GCAACUCGCCUACACGAAGCUGGAAUCGCUAGUAAUCGCGGAUCAGCACGCCGCGGCGAAUACGUUCCCGGGCCUUGUACACACCGCCCGUCACACCAUGAGAGUCUGUAACACCCAAAGCCGGUGGGAUAACCUUUAUAGGAGUCAGCCGUCUAAGGUAGGACAGAUGAUUAGGGUGAAGUCGUAACAAGGUAAC
rnacentral:rRNA from 1 species